rnacentral:rRNA from 1 species
GACGAACGCUGGCGGCGUGCCUAAUACAUGCAAGUCGAGCGAAUCGAUGGGAGCUUGCUCCCUGAGAUUAGCGGCGGACGGGUGAGUAACACGUGGGUAACCUGCCUGUAAGACUGGGAUAACUUCGGGAAACCGGAGCUAAUACCGGAUACUUUCUUUUCUCGCAUGAGGGAAGAUGGAAAGAUGGUUCUGCUAUCACUUACAGAUGGACCCGCGGCGCAUUAGCUAGUUGGUGAGGUAACGGCUGACCAAGGCGACGAUGCGUAGCCGACCUGAGAGGGUGGUCGGCGAAACUGGGACGGAGACACGGCCCAGACUCCUACGGGAGGCAGCAGUAGGGAAUCUUCCGCAAUGGACGAAAGUCUGACGGAGCAACGCCGCGUGAGCGAAGAAGGCCUUCGGGUCGUAAAGCUCUGUUGUUAGGGAAGAACAAGUACGAGAGUAACUGCUCGCACCUUGACGGUACCUAACCAGAAAGCCACGGCUAACUACGUGCCAGCCGCCGCAGUAAGAC